AAGAGACCUCCGGAGUGGGGGAGGGGCUGGGGUUGUGCCUUUGUGCCGUAGGCCCAGCGGGGGAGGGUCAUUGUGGUGAUCCCGGUGGAUCACGAGCUCACCAGGAGCUCCCAGCUCCACGGUGGCCAGCAGGGCUAGCGCCAUCCCGGAGUGCAGGAACAGGGCAAUCUGGAAUCGAGCAGAGAGGGGAUUUUACCUCUGGAUCUCGCCCUGGUGCAACCACGUCUGGGAUCCUGUGCCCAGUUCUGGGGCCCGCACUCCCAGGAGUUGGUGAUCAGCUGUGGAGGGGUCAGAGAAGAGCCAUGAGAAGGAGUCAGGGGUUGGAAAACCUGCCCUAGGGUGAGAGACUCCAGGAGCUCCGUCUGUUUAGCUGAACCAAGGGAAGGGGAAGGAGUGACGUGAGUCCCGUCUACAAGAUCCUACACGGAGAAGAGAACGUUGAUAAUGGUCCUGGCGGCCGAGCAGACAGAGAUCCAGGGGCUGGAAGCUGAAGCUAGACAAAUUCAGACUGGCAAUAAGCCACCCCCCGUGUUUGGGCUCCCGCGUACAUCCUGGGACCUGCAGUUGCGCUCGUCCUGCUGCUGCUGGUGGGGCUGGUCGGCGUCACAGCUUGGAGGAAGAGGCGGAGCAAACGCCAGGGACUGAGCAGCGAUCCGG